rnacentral:rRNA from 1 species
AGCAGCCGCGGUAAUUCCAGCUCCAAUAGCGUAUAUUAAAGUUGUUGCAGUUAAAAAGCUCGUAGUUGAAUUUCGGGGUCAGUAGGCUGGUCGUGCCACAGGUAUGCACUGGUCUCACUGAUUCCUCCUUCCUGAUGAACCGUAAUGCCAUUAAUUUGGUGUUGCGGGGAAUCUGGACUGUUACUUUGAAAAAUUAGAGUGUUUAAAGCAGGCUAACGCUUGAAUACAUUAGCAUGGAAUAAUGAAAUAGGACGAUCGAUCCUAUUUUGUUGGUUUCUAGGAUUGACGUAAUGAUUAAUAGGGAUAGUUGGGGGCAUUAGUAUUCAAUUGUCAGAGGUGAAAUUCUUGGAUUUAUUGAAGACUAACUACUGCGAAAGCAUUUGCCAAGGAUGUUUUCAUUAAUCAAGAACGAAAGUUAGGGGAUCGAAGACGAUCAGAUACCGUCGUAGU